rnacentral:rRNA from 1 species
GACGAACGCUGGCGGCGUGCCUAACACAUGCAAGUCGAACGAGGUCCAUGAGAGCUUGCUCUCGGACGACCUAGUGGCGAACGGGUGAGUAACACGUGAGAAACCUGCCUCGGAGUGGGGAAUAACUCGGGGAAACUCGAGCUAAUACCGCAUACCUUCAGAUGAUCGCAUGGUCGACUGAAGAAAGAAUUUCGCUCUGAGAGGGUCUCGCGGCCUAUCAGCUAGUUGGUGGGGUAACGGCCUACCAAGGCAACGACGGGUAGCUGGAUUGAGGGAUCGUUCAGCCACACUGGGACUGAGACACGGCCCAGACUGCUAGGGGAGGCAGCAGUGGGGAAUCUUGCGCAAUGGGCGAAAGCCUGACGCAGCAACGCCGCGUGCGGGAUGACGGCCUUCGUGGUUGUAAACCGCUUUCAGCAGGGACGAAAUUGACGGUACCUGCAGAAGAAGCCCCGGCUAACUACGUGCCAGCCGCCGCCGUAACAC